rnacentral:tRNA from 1 species
GUGGGAGUAGCUCAGUUGGUAGAGUGCCUGACUGUGACUCAGGUUGUCGCGGGUUCAAAACCCGUCUCUCACC